GUGAACCCUGAAAUGUAGUCUCCUCUUAAAGUUAUCAGCAGGAAUCAGGGUAGGAUUCCUUCUGGGAUUCUCCAUUCUCCAUUCUCCAGGGCUUAUUCUUGAGCUAACUGUAAUUUUGCAUCUUGAGCAUGAUGACGUUGUGUGUGUUGCUAAGCAAGAAGAAAUCCAAAGCACCAUCGUUUUCCAGGUGAUCAAACAUGACACACCACAGCAUGCAAGUGCCUUGGACUUCCCACUAACUCCCAAAUAGCUCCCAGUACUUUUUACCUUCUUCCUGGUUAUAUCCAACUCCCCAAGAAGAGAAUUGGGCACUUGACUCUAUGAGGUGGCCUGUAAACUCUGAAAUCUUUGCUCUCCACAAUCACUCAAAAGCAGAUUGAUGAAGACUCUGCCAUCUUCAAGGCAGAUGGUUGAAGAUGGUUCCCAAGGUCACCAUGGCCCGUGAUGUGAAGCCAGAAAAGGAGCAGAGUACAGAUGCCUGGAUCUCCCACUCACCAAAAUCUUCUUCAAUCAGACUCUCUUUCUUGGAUUUCAUGGGUGGAAAGACCCUGGCCAGCUCCCUGGGGUGGUUCAUCACACCCAAGUCUUUCCUGAUGAACUUGCCUCAAGUCUUUGAAGACACAUUUAACACAUCACAUCACCCUUGUUAUACUGUGCUAAUGCUUGACUGCUGAGAAAUCUUGAUGCUGGAUGAUCUCACAUUCUACUUUCUUCAAGAAUCUUCACAAACUUAAACAAUUGGGAAUGGGUGUGUGUGUGUGUGUGUGUGUGUGUGUGUGUGUGUGUGUGUCUAUGUAUGUCCUUUCUUCCUCUGGCAAUCAUGAGCCUAUUUCCCAGAGCCCAUUGAAGUACCUACUACAUUCCCAUAGUAACUAUAUUUCCAGAAUGUUCCUGGUCCAAAUCAGAUUUGAGAUUGCCUCUGGUUCAUCCCUACACGGCUCCUGCCUUUGGUAGAGGUGCUCUGGGCAAUAUGAUGCUCAACAAAUAUUAUCUCCCUAUGCCUAAAGCCCAAAAUCACCACUGCCAUUCUAAGUUGUCAAUAUAACAUGUAAGAAACAUUCAUUAAAUGUUGUAAGUUGAAAGUGUUUAUUUACCUCCACUGUGUGCCAAAUGCCACAAAAUUUAUAGUAUGGAGAAAAAAUACAUAAAUCCUUG
rnacentral:lncRNA from 1 species